UAGGGAAUCUUCCGCAAUGGACGCAAGUCUGACGGAGCAACGCCGCGUGAGUGAAGAAGGAUUUCGGUUCGUAAAACUCUGUUGUUAGAGAAGAACAGCGCAUAGAGUAACUGUUAUGCGUGUGACGGUAUCUAACUAGAAAGCCACGGCUAACUACGUGCCAGCAGCCGCGGUAAUACGUAGGUGGCAAGCGUUGUCCGGAUUUAUUGGGCGUAAAGCGAGCGCAGGCGGUCAAUUAAGUCUGAUGUGAAAGCCCCCGGCUCAACCGGGGAGGGUCAUUGGAAACUGGUUGACUUGAGUGCAGAAGAGGAGAGUGGAAUUCCAUGUGUAGCGGUGAAAUGCGUAGAUAUAUGGAGGAACACCAGUGGCGAAGGCGACUCUCUGGUCUGUAACUGACGCUGAGGUUCGAAAGCGUGGGUAGCAAACAGG
rnacentral:rRNA from 1 species